GACACAACAGCGCAGACAGACAGUUAUGCUCUAGAUUAUUUAAAAUAUGUACUUUUUGAAAAGCACAGUUCUGAUGAGCUGAGAAUAAGAGAAAUAGUCUGAUCGGUAAGGCGAAACACUCAAUGGAGAAUGAUAAAAAUCUCAGGGAGCGAUUCAUUUUCAUCUGAACUGAGCCACAUCUUCCAAACCGCAGAACCCUUCGGCCAUGUGAAGACUUUAGCCCAAGUUAGGAGCUCAAUUGAAUCCAGAUGUCGCUCCAGCAAUAGCCGUUACUUUCACCACUAAAUCAUUCAGUUCCUGGAGGAAUGAUAGUCAGGCAACUAAAAUGAAUCGCUUGCUCUUAUUGUUAAUCACCC
ensembl:lncRNA